rnacentral:rRNA from 1 species
GACGAACCGUGCGAACGUUGUUCGGAAUCACUGGGCUUAAAGGGCGCGUAGGCGGGCGAUCAAGUCAGAGGUGAAAUCCCACGGCUCAACCGUGGAAGUGCCCCUGAUACUGGUUGUCUCGAGGGAGAUAGGGGCGUGCGGAACUUUUGGUGGAGCGGUGAAAUGCGUAGAUAUCAAAAGGAACACCGGUGGCGAAAGCGGCGCGCUGGAUCUCUACUGACGCUGAGGCGCGAAAGCCAUGGGAGCAAACGGG